UACAGAGGGGGCAAGCGUUGUUCGGAAUUACUGGGCGUAAAGGGCGCGUAGGCGGCCAACUAAGUCGGACGUGAAAUCCCCGGGCUCAACCCGGGAACUGCGUCCGAUACUGGAUGGCUUGAGUCCGGGAGAGGGAUGUGGAAUUCCAGGUGUAGCGGUGAAAUGCGUAGAUAUCUGGAGGAACACCGGUGGCGAAGGCGGCAUCCUGGACCGGUAUUGACGCUGAGGCGCGAAAGCCAGGGGAGCAAACGGG
rnacentral:rRNA from 1 species